CUACGGGAGGCAGCAGUGGGGAAUCUUGCGCAAUGGGGGAAACCCUGACGCAGCGACGCCGCGUGGAGGAUGAAGGCCUUCGGGUUGUAAACUCCUUUUCUUAGGGAAAAUAAUGAUGGUACCCUAUGAAUAAGCCACGGCUAACUCUGUGCCAGCAGCCGCGGUAAGACAGAGGUGGCGAGCGUUGUUCGGAAUUACUGGGCUUAAAGGGCGAGUAGGCGGUGGGACAAGUCUGAUGUGGAAUCCUAAGGCUUAACCAUAGAACUGCAUUAGAAACUGUUUUACUUGAGUCAGUGAGGGGAGGGCGGAAUUCCCGGUGUAGCGGUGAAAUGCGUAGAUAUCGGGAGGAAGGCCGGUGGCGAAGGCGGCCCUCUGGCACUGUACUGACGCUGAGGCGCGAAAGCUAGGGGAGCGAACAGGAUUAGAUACCCUGGUAGUCCUAGCCGUAAACGUUGGGUGCUAGGUGUGGGCGGAUAUCGACCCCGUCCGUGCCGAAGCUAACGCAUUAAGCACCCCGCCUGGGGAGUACGGCCGCAAGGCUAAAACUUAAAGGAAUUGACGG
rnacentral:rRNA from 1 species